UUGAUUAUGGCUCAGGAUGAACGCUAGCGGCAGGCUUAACACAUGCAAGUCGAGGGGCAGCGCGGGGUAGCAAUACCCUGGCGGCGACCGGCGGAAGGGUGCGUAACACGUGAGCGACUUGCCCGAUACAGGGAGAUAACCGGUGGAAACGCCGACUAAUAUCCCAUACGACUAGAGGCUGCAUGGCCUUGAGUUGAAAGGUUCGCCGGUAUCGGAUAGGCUCGCGGGACAUUAGCUUGAUGGCGGGGCAACGGCCCACCAUGGCGACGAUGUCUAGGGGUUCUGAGAGGAAGACCCCCCACACUGGGACUGAGACACGGCCCAGACUCCUACGGGAGGCAGCAGUGAGGAAUAUUGGUCAAUGGGCGGAAGCCUGAACCAGCCAUGCCGCGUGAAGGACUAAGGCCCUAUGGGUCGUAAACUUCUUUAGACGCAGAGCAAUAAGGGCCUCGCGAGGUCCGAUGAGAGUAUGCGUAGAAUAAGCAUCGGCUAACUCCGUGCCAGCAGCCGCGGUAAUACGGGGGAUGCGAGCGUUAUCCGGAUUUAUUGGGUUUAAAGGGUGCGUAGGCGGCGAAUUAAGUCAGCGGUGAAAGACCGGGGCUCAACCCUGGAAGUGCCGUUGAUACUGAUUGGCUAGAAUACCCUUGCCGUGGGAGGAAUGAGUGGUGUAGCGGUGAAAUGCAUGGAUAUCACUCAGAACACCGAUUGCGAAGGCAUCUCACGAAGGGGCGAUUGACGCUGAGGCACGAAAGCGUGGGGAUCGAACAGGAUUAGAUACCCUGGUAGUCCACGCAGUAAACGAUGAUGGCUAACUGUCGGGCCUGCGGGUUCGGCGGCCAAGCGAAAGCGAUAAGCCAUCCACCUGGGGAGUACGACCGCAAG
rnacentral:rRNA from 1 species